UGGGGAAUAUUGGGCAAUGGGCGAAAGCCUGACCCAGCAACGCCGCGUGAUUGAAGAAGGUCUUCGGAUUGUAAAGAUCUGUCCUAUGGGACGAAUAAAGUGACGGUACCAUAGGAGGAAGCCCCGGCUAACUACGUGCCAGCAGCCGCGGUAAUACGUAGGGGGCGAGCGUUGUCCGGAAUUACUGGGCGUAAAGGGUGCGUAGGCGGCGCUUUAAGUCAGAUGUGAAAUACCCGGGCUUAACCUGGGGGGUGCAUCUGAUACUGGAGUGCUUGAGUGCAGGAGAGGAAAGUGGAAUUCCUAGUGUAGCGGUGAAAAUGCGUAGAUAUUAGGAGGAACACCAGUGGCGAAGGCGACUUUCUGGACUGUAACUGACGCUGAGGCACGAAAAGCGUGGGGAGCAAAACAGGAUUAGAUACCCUGGUAGUCCACGCCGUAAAACGAUGGAUCUAGUGUAGGGGGCGAUACCUUCUGUGCCGCAGCAAAGCGCAAUAAGUAUCCCGCCUGGGGAGUACGAUCGCAAGGUUGAAACUCAAAGGAAUUGACGGGGUCAUAGCUGUUUCCU
rnacentral:rRNA from 1 species